UUUGAAAUAAAUUUCAAAUUUUUUUCGUUCAAAUUUAGAUCAUUUAAUUUGGAGUCGAGCUCGAGUGAAACGAACAGCUAGAGCACACUAGCUCAUUUGCCAGCCCUAAAUCCAAUACCCUUCUCUCUGUCUAGUUCGAAUAUAAGCAAGAACUAGUUAUUACAGGAAUAGGUACAAAAUAUAGGGAUAAGAAAAAUAGCAUUUGGAUGAAAAUUGAAUUGUUUCCGCGGUUAAGAAAAAUAGUGUUUGAAUAGAUAAUAUGAAAUAAGAAAAAUAGUAGAUAGUUAUAUAUAAAAAAUGAAGAUGUUGGUGAGAAUAGUUAUAUCAGCAUAUCCGAAAAUUACUAUUUUCAGAUAAAAAAAUUUAUGUUUAGGAAUAAAGGGAGUGAUAAGGGACCUUUUAU
rnacentral:lncRNA from 1 species